UACGUAGGGUGCGAGCGUUGUCCGGAAUUAUUGGGCGUAAAGGGCUCGUAGGCGGUUUGUUACGUCGGGAGUGAAAACCCAGGGCUCAACCCUGGGCCUGCUUCCGAUACGGGCAGACUAGAGGUAUGCAGGGGAGAAUGGAAUUCCUGGUGUAGCGGUGAAAUGCGCAGAUAUCAGGAGGAACACCGGUGGCGAAGGCGGUUCUCUGGGCAUUACCUGACGCUGAGGAGCGAAAGCGUGGGGAGCGAACAGG
rnacentral:rRNA from 1 species